rnacentral:rRNA from 1 species
AGAGUUUGAUCAUGGCUCAGAUUGAACGCUGGCGGCAGGCCUAACACAUGCAAGUCGAACGGUAACAGGAAACAGCUUGCUGUUUCGCUGACGAGUGGCGGACGGGUGAGUAAUGUCUGGGAAACUGCCUGAUGGAGGGGGAUAACUACUGGAAACGGUAGCUAAUACCGCAUAACGUCGCAAGACCAAAGAGGGGGACCUUCGGGCCUCUUGCCAUCGGAUGUGCCCAGAUGGGAUUAGCUAGUAGGUGGGGUAACGGCUCACCUAGGCGACGAUCCCUAGCUGGUCUGAGAGGAUGACCAGCCACACUGGAACUGAGACACGGUCCAGACUCCUACGGGAGGCAGCAGUGGGGAAUAUUGCACAAUGGGCGCAAGCCUGAUGCAGCCAUGCCGCGUGUAUGAAGAAGGCCUUCGGGUUGUAAAGUACUUUCAGCGGGGAUGAAGGGAGUAAAGUUAAUACCUUUGCUCAUUGACGUUACCCGCAGAAGAAGCACCGGCUAACUCCGUGCCAGCAGCCGCGGUAAUACGGAGGGUGCAAGCGUUAAUCGGAAUUACUGGGCGUAAAGCGCACGCAGGCGGUUUGUUAAGUCAGAUGUGAAAUCCCCGGGCUCAACCUGGGAACUGCAUCUGAUACUGGCAAGCUUGAGUCUCGUAGAGGGGGGUAGAAUUCCAGGUGUAGCGGUGAAAUGCGUAGAGAUCUGGAGGAAUACCGGUGGCGAAGGCGGCCCCCUGGACGAAGACUGACGCUCAGUGCGAAAGCGUGGGGGAGCAAACAGGAUUAGAUACCCUGGUAGUCCACGCCGUAAACGAUGUCGACUUGGAGGUUGUGCCCUUGAGGCGUGGCUUCCGAAGCUAACGCGUUAAGUCGACCGCCUGGGGAGUACGGCCGCAAGGUUAAAACUCAAUGAAUUUGACGGGGCCCGCACAAGCGGUGGAGCAUGUGUUUAAUUCGAUGCAACGCGAGAACCUUACCUGGUCUUGACAUCCACGGAGUUUCAGAGAUGAGAUGGUGCCUUCCGGGACCGUGAGACAGUGCUGCAUGCUGUCGUUCACCUCUGGUUGUUGAAUGUUGGUUAGUUCCCGCCACCGACGCAACCUAUCCUUUGUUGGCAGCGUCCGGCGGAACUCAAGAAACUGCAUGUAUAAACU